GAUUUGUGUCUGAACCAUAGAUAUAAUAAAUAGACUAGAUAGUGCAUCCCGCUGGGCAGGCGGGAAUUUUUGAAGCCUGAUCGUGGUCGCAGCAUCACCACUGGCGGCCAUAUUGGAUCUUCCCAGGAGCGAGGAAAUUUGUAUGUUUUAUUAUGGCGAAAUUAACAACUCUGCAAGUAUAUUCAUAUUUGGAACGACGAGUUUGAUGUUUUGAGCAGGGAAAGUUGUUGUGGAGUAUCGCGAAUUGUAAGGGAACAUAAAAAAUAGAAAGGGUAAGUACAAAUCAUAUAUAUUUCCCAAAAAUAAUACUUACGUUAUGUAUCCAGGAGUGGCCAGAUAGCAAUAUUUUUAAACUAAAAGUUUCUCGUAUGCAUUUUCGAUAAGAUUUGUCCCCAUUACUGUACGUAUAGCUUUUUAUACGUAUUAGUAUUACACAAAGCGAAAUCUUGUAGUAAUCCGUAUAAUUCAUAGAUAUCUCUGUGGUAUGAUUAGCCAGAUUAGGGAUGAAAACUCGUAUCUCAAUUGACACAAUAGCCACUUUCAAGGACAAAUGUGCUAGUUUCGUCCAUAGAUAUAAUAGUUUCGACAUGUCCAUGCCGAGGUCCAUGCAUGAUUUUGAUUUUCUUGCAUAUUUUCUAUACAUGUUUGUAUUGGGCUGGAAAUAUAUUUUGUGUUAUUUUACUGCAAUUAUAUUUUAUUGACAGUACUUACAUUGUCUUCUAUAGUGUCUUGGUAGGCAAGCCAGUAUUAUUAACAUUUAGUUGAAGCAAGAAUGGAAUCAAGAUAAAGGCCUUUAAAGGAUUAUACAUAAUUAUAGUAUCACUGUG